AGUAGAAGUACGAGGACGCUUCCUUCGGGAAGCGAGCGUACACAGGUGCUGCAUGGCUGUCGUCAGCUCGUGUCGUGAGAUGGUUAGGGUUAACGUCCCGUAACGAGCGCAACCUUGUCCUUAGUUACCAGCACGUUAUGGUGGGCACUCUAAGGAGACUGCCGGUGACAAACCGGAGGAAGGUGGGGAUGACGUCAAGUCAUCAUGGCCCUUACGGCCUGGGCUACACACGUGCUACAAUGGUCGGUACAAAGGGUUGCCAAGCCGCGAGGUGGAGCUAAUCCCAUAAAACCGAUCGUAGUCCGGAUCGCAGUCUGCAACUCGACUGCGUGAAGUCGGAAUCGCUAGUAAUCGUGAAUCAGAAUGUCACGGUGAAUACGUUCCCGGGCCUU
rnacentral:rRNA from 1 species